UACGUAGGGUGCAAGCGUUGUCCGGAAUUAUUGGGCGUAAAGAGCUCGUAGGCGGUCUGUCGCGUCUGCUGUGAAAACUCAGGGCUUAACCCUGAGCUUGCAGUGGGUACGGGCAGACUAGAGUGCGGUAGGGGAGACUGGAAUUCCUGGUGUAGCGGUGAAAUGCGCAGAUAUCAGGAGGAACACCGGUGGCGAAGGCGGGUCUCUGGGCAGUAACUGACGCUGAGGAGCGAAAGCGUGGGGAGCAAACAGG
rnacentral:rRNA from 1 species